rnacentral:rRNA from 1 species
CCCGGGCCUUGUACACACCGCCCGUCACACCACGAAAGUCCGCUGUACCAGAAAUCGUCGGAGCUAACCCGUAAGGGAGGCAGGCGCCCAAGGUAUGGUUGGUAAUUGGGGUG